CAGACGCUCAAAAAAAAGGACACUGCGAUACAACUCUAGCAUGCGCUUUAAAUUUAAAAUGCCCACGCCUAGCACAAACAACAUUUCUUACUUUUUAAAUCAUUAAAAAGUUCAAAAACACAAAAAUAAAUCAACAAUAAUAGUUCAUAGCAUUGUUCAUAAACAUAGUUCAGGUCCAAAUGAUACAAACGAAAAUGAUAUAACUAGAUUGAUAAACUACAUAGAUAAAUACUAGAAAACUCCUGCUCCUUGCUCUCCUUGAUGGUGUAGUCCGACGUGAGGAAAGUGUCAACCCAACAAUCAUCCUUCUCGCUUCAUGUCGACGCCUGCCCCAGGUUGCACUGCGCUACCGCUGCAUCCUUCUGCUCACGCCUGUCUGCCCGCUCCGCGGCUCGCACCGCCCUCUAUAGCGCCUAGUACUCACGCUUGUCGAUGACAUCCUGCGGGAAGCGCUGGCACCACAUCUUCAUGGCCUGCUCAUCCGUCUCGGUGAUGAGGAGGCGAUGCUUCUGCCUCUGCUUGAUGUGGCAGUCCUUCGCGGUGAUUAGCCGCGAGGAAGGCGUGUGGUCCUGCGCCUCCUCGUGCGUCCGGACUUCCAAAAAUUCAUCCAUGACAGCAACCUGGUGAGCCGCCAUGCCGGCGCAUCAUACGCGCGGGCGGCCGCUUGGCGGUCUCAAACGUCGUGAGCCCGAGGCGUGUAUUACGGAAGCGUAUCUUCGCGUAAAACACGCCAGAGGAGCCGACGUGAAUGCCGUAAUAGCCGAAACUGCUCCAGCGGCGCGGUGGCAUCGUGGCGACGAGGAAGAAGGGCGACGGGGCCGAGGGAGAAGGGCGUCGGAGACGAGGAAAGCGGCGACGGUGGCCCGGCGGAGGCGAAGUCGCAGGCGCUGGGGGUGAAGGUUUGCGGGCGAGCGCACACGGUUUUUAUAGGGCGCGUUGGUCGCCGCACGUCAAAACUGCCGCGCGCAUUGCUGCUUUUUCACGUAUGCGUCUUUUUUUUUGCGCGUCAGUUUUUC
rnacentral:lncRNA from 1 species